GGAGGAAGUAGGGGAUCGCAAGACCUUGCGCUUUUGGAGCGGCCGAUGCCUGAUUAGCUUGUUGGUAAGGUAAAAGCUUACCAAGGCUUCGAUCAGUAGCUGGUCUGAGAGGACGGCCAGCACACUGGGACUGAGACACGGCCCAGACUCCUACGGGAGGCAGCAGUGGGGAAUUUUGGACAAUGGGGGCAACCCUGAUCCAGCCAUGCCGCGUGAGUGAAGAAGGCCUUCGGGUUGUAAAGCUCUUUCAGCCGGAACGAAACGGUUACGGUUAAUACCCGUGACUAAUGACGGUACCGGAAGAAGAAGCACCGGCUAACUACGUGCCAGCAGCCGCGGUAAUACGUAGGGUGCGAGCGUUAAUCGGAAUUACUGGGCGUAAAGCGUGCGCAGGUGGUUUUGUAAGUCAGAUGUGAAAUCCCCGGGCUCAACCUGGGAACUGCGUUUGAAACUACAAAGCUAG
rnacentral:rRNA from 1 species